UACGUAGGGUGCGAGCGUUGUCCGGAAUUACUGGGCGUAAAGAGCUCGUAGGCGGCUUGUCACGUCGGUUGUGAAAGCCCGGGGCUUAACCCCGGGUCUGCAGUCGAUACGGGCAGGCUAGAGUGUGGUAGGGGGAGAUCGGAAUUCCUGGUGUAGCGGUGAAAUGCGCAGAUAUCAGGAGGAACACCGGUGGCGAAGGCGGAUCUCUGGGCCAUUACUGACGCUGAGGAGCGAAAGCGUGGGGAGCGAACAGG
rnacentral:rRNA from 1 species